GACGAACGCUGGCGGCGCGCUUAACACAUGCAAGUCGAACGGAAAGGCCUGCUUUCCCUUGUGGAUUGCGGGUACUCGAGUGGCGAACGGGUGAGUAACACGUGAGUGAUCUGCCCCCAACUUGGGUAUAAGCCUGGGAAACUGGGUCUAAUUCCCGAUAGGACUGCAGGGUGGUGCCUGUGGUGGAAAACGAUUUUCUAGUGGUUGGGGAUGAGCUCGCGGCCUAUCAGCUUGUUGGUGGGGUAAUGGCCUACCAAGGCGGCGACGGGUAGCCGGCCUGAGAGGGUGGACGGCCACAUUGGGACUGAGAUACGGCCCAGACUGCUACGGGAGGCAGCAGUGGGGAAUAUUGCACAAUGGGCGGAAGCCUGAUGCAGCGACGCCGCGUGGGGGAUGACGGCCCUCGGGUUGUAAACUCCUUUCGACCGCGAGGAAGCCACCUGGUUGGAAGGGUGGUGACGGUAGUGGUAGAAGAAGCACCGGCUAACUACGUG
rnacentral:rRNA from 1 species